UUGGACGGUAUGUUGCUAACUUUAACUGAGUCAAAGCUUUGUAUCCUGUCACGUAGCAAACAGGAGAACUCAACAGCGAUGUCCAGGUCGCUAUCCGUGCGGUUCUUACACUCCACACUCAAGCGGAAGACUCCGGAGUAAGAGCCGCAGGUGGAGAAAGCAAAGAUGGCGAAAAACUGGUAAAGAAGAGAGAGAGGUGAAUGAAAUAAUGUAUAUGCAGGGGUACGAAGACUACAGAUCUGGAAGUUGCUUUAGAUAAAAUCUCAUGCCAAAUAAUGAAGAUAAACAAAAUACCCACUUGAUAUUUGACUAGAUCUGAGAGUUGAUGGUUCAUUUUAUAGGCUUUUUGUUGACAUAAUUCACAAUAUA